GAAAGCCGGAUGCUUGGAAACUUGCUUGUCCGGUUUGGACGGGGGCUGAUUGUAAAUAAAACAGCAAAUACAAAUCGCUGCAUAAAAAACGCAAUUAAUCUAUCCGUAU
rnacentral:ncRNA from 1 species